rnacentral:rRNA from 1 species
AUUGAACGCUGGCGGCAUGCUUUACACAUGCAAGUCGAACGGUAACAGGCCUUCGGGUGCUGACGAGUGGCGAACGGGUGAGUAAUGCAUCGGAACGUGCCCAGAGGUGGGGGAUAACGCAGCGAAAGCUGUGCUAAUACCGCAUAUUAUCUGAGGAUGAAAGCGGGGGACUAAGCAGCAAUGUUUGGCCUCGCGCCUUUGGAGCGGCCGAUGUCAGAUUAGGUAGUUGGUGGGGUAAAGGCCUACCAAGCCGACGAUCUGUAGCUGGUCUGAGAGGACGACCAGCCACACUGGGACUGAGACACGGCCCAGACUCCUACGGGAGGCAGCAGUGGGGGAAUUUUGGGACAAUGGGCGAAAGCCUGAUCCAGCCAUGCCGCGUGCAGGAUGAAGGCCUUCGGGUUGUAAACUGCUUUGUACGGAACGAAAAGGUUUCUAUUAAUACUAAGGUAGGACUCAUGACGGUACCGUAAGAAUAAGACACCGGCUAACUACGU